GACGAACGCUGGCGGCGUGCUUAACACAUGCAAGUCGAACGGAAAGGCCCUGCUUUUGUGGGGUGCUCGAGUGGCGAACGGGUGAGUAACACGUGAGUAACCUGCCCUUGACUUUGGGAUAACUUCAGGAAACUGGGGCUAAUACCGGAUAGGAGCUCCUGCUGCAUGGUGGGGGUUGGAAAGUUUCGGCGGUUGGGGAUGGACUCGCGGCUUAUCAGCUUGUUGGUGGGGUAGUGGCUUACCAAGGCUUUGACGGGUAGCCGGCCUGAGAGGGUGACCGGCCACAUUGGGACUGAGAUACGGCCCAGACUCCUACGGGAGCCAGCAGUGGGGAAUAUUGCACAAUGGGCGGAAGCCUGAUGCAGCAACGCCGCGUGCGGGAUGACGGCCUUCGGGUUGUAAACCGCUUUCGCCUGUGACGAAGCGUGAGUGACGGUAAUGGGUAAAGAAGCACCGGCUAACUACGUG
rnacentral:rRNA from 1 species